rnacentral:rRNA from 1 species
AUUGAACGCUGGCGGCAGGCCUAACACAUGCAAGUCGCGCGAGCGGCGGACGGGUGAGUAAUGUCUGGGAAACUGCCUGAUGGAGGGGGAUAACUACUGGAAACGGUAGCUAAUACCGCAUACCAUCAGAUGUUCCCAGAUGGGAUUAGCUAGUAGGUGGGGUAACGGCUCACCUAGGCGCCGAUCCCUAGCUGGUCUGAGAGGAUGACCAACCACACUGGGACUGAGAAACGGUCCAGACUCGGACGGGAGGCAGCAGUGGGGAAUAGUGAACAAUGGGCGCAAGCCUGAGGCAGCCAUGCCGCGUGUGUGAAGAAGGCCUUAGGGUUGUAAAGCACUUUCAGCGGGGAGUCGUUACCCGCAGAAGAAGCACCGGCUAACUCCGUGCCAGCAGCCGCGGUAAUUC